rnacentral:lncRNA from 1 species
UGUAUUUUUUUUUAUACCCCCGCUUUAAAAAAGGGGGGUAUACUGUUUUACCUCUGUCUGUCAGUCCGUCCGUCCAUCAGUCCGUCAGUCAGUCCGUCAGUCAGUCCGUCAGUCAGUCCGUCAGUCAGUCCGUCCCAUGAAACUUUCGUCACAUUUUUCUCAGGAACUACACAUCCACCCUUUCUGUAAUUUGGUAUCAACAUUUAUAUAUGUCAGCCAUACCG